AGCAUUUGUGUACGUUUUUGUUUAACUUGUGGACAUAGACAAAUAGCUGCAAAAAAUAAUUCUCUUAUAACCCAGAACUCAUUGUUCAAUUUAAGUUUAGAUACAUAUCAGCACAAAUA
ensembl:snoRNA